rnacentral:piRNA from 1 species
AGGAACUCUCACGAGAACAAGACGA